UCGUGUCUGCUACCUCUUACCCAUGUCUUUUGAGUACCUUCGUUUCCUCGGCGGGUCCGCCCGCCGAUUGGACAACAUUCAAACCCUUUGCAGUUGCAAUCAGCGUCUGAAAAAACUUAAUAGUUACAACUUUCAACAACGGAUCUCUUGGUUCUGGCAUCGAUGAAGAACGCAGCGAAAUGCGAUAAGUAGUGUGAAUUGCAGAAUUCAGUGAAUCAUCGAAUCUUUGAACGCACAUUGCGCCCCUUGGUAUUCCAUGGGGCAUGCCUGUUCAAGCGUCAUUUGUACCUUCAAGCUCUGCUUGGUGUUGGGUGUUUUGUCUCGCCUCUGCGUGUAGACUCGCCUUAAAACAAUUGGCAGCCGGCGUAUUGAUUUCGGAGCGCAGUACAUCUCGCGCUUUGCACUCAUAACGACGACGUCCAAAAGUACAUUUUUACACUCUUGACCUCGGAUCAGGUACGGAUACCCGCUGAACUUAACCAUAUCAAUAACCGGAGGGAAGAAUUACCUAGAGUUUGUAGACU
rnacentral:rRNA from 1 species